rnacentral:rRNA from 1 species
CCUACGGGUGACAGCAGUGAGGAAUAUUGGUCAAUGGGCGCUAGCCUGAACCAGCCAAGUAGCGUGAAGGAUGACUGCCCUAUGGGUUGUAAACUUCUUUUGUCAGGGAACAAAGUCGGGCACGCGUCCCCGGUUGCGUGUACCUGAAGAACAAGCAUCGGCUAACACCGUGCCAGCAGCCGCGGUAAUACGGGGGAUGCGAGCGUUAUCCGGAUUUAUUGGGUUUAAAGGGUGCGCAGGGGGUCUGUUAAGUCAGCGGGAAAAGCGCGGGGCUCAACCCCGGCCCGCCGUUGAAACUGGCAGUCUGGAGUUGGGGAGAGGUAGGCGGAAUGCGCGGUGUAGCGGUGAAAUGCAUAGAUAUCAGGCAGAACACCGAUUGCGAAGGCAGCAUGCCGG